GACGUACAUCCUCCAGGUGACGUCAACCCGCACAGUUAGCCUAGCACGUCCGCUCCUUUUUGUUAGCAUGUGGACGCUAACACGUUUAUUUCGAAUUUACCUUGCCUUGUAAACUCCGCUUUGAAAAUCCACAUUGUCGACCGCACCAUGAGUACAUUAUGGAUGGGAAAUCUGGAUUCUUAUAUGGACGAGAAGUUCAUCACCAGAGCCUUUUCUACCAUGGGUGAGCAGGCAGUCAGUGUUCGGAUCAUACGCAGCAAGGUUCCAGGUGCGCCGUCGUCCAGCAGUGCCUUGGGUUAUUGUUUUGUGGAAAUGGCGGAUGAGGCCACGGCUGAGAGGUGUCUUCGUAAAAUCAAUGGGAAAUCCCUCCCCGGAGCCAGUCCACCGACAAGAUUCAAGUUAAACCGAGCUACCUUUGGGAAACAAGAAACAGGUCAGAUGUACUCCUUGUUUGUGGGAGAUCUCACUCCAGAGGUAGACGAUGGGAUGCUGUACGAGUUCUUCUACAAUCGAUUCCCUUCGUGCCGGGGAGGAAAAGUAGUGCUGGACACCAUGGGAAACUCCAAGGGUUGCGGCUUUGUUCAGUUUCCCGACGAGCGCUUGCAGAAGCGAGCGCUGGACGAGUGUCAAGGAGCUGUGGGACUGGGGAGUAAACCCCUGCGACUAAGCAUAGCGGCUAGCAAUUUAAGGAACAGACCGCUGCAGCCUGAACCCAAAACCUGGCCGACAAGCACCGGCUACACGCCCCCCUACGACCAGUACAGCCAAUACCACCAGCAGCAGGCGUAUCCGAACUAUUACUCCUCCUGGGGAUACGAUCAAACUGCAGCCACGUACGGCUACACGUACCCACAGUACGAUUACUCACAGUAUGCCCAAUCACAGGAAGUCGAUGUUCAGGAUGAUGGACUCGAAGAUCCAUCGGCAGAGUUGGAUGUGGUGGAAACAAACAAGAGGUUCAUCCAGAACAGCGAAGAACUGUACGAUACUCUAAUUGACUCUCCGUGGAAAUCGCUAGAGUUCUCAUCAGAGCAAGACCAAGUGAUGUUAACCAUACCAGAUCCACUUAGCUACUAAGCCUGGAUGCAGUUGCUUCGCUUUAUUUGCAGCCGUCUGCUGGGGCUUUGACAGUACAGUAAAUAUUCUCUAGUGCGGAC